CGACUGCCAGGUGAAUUUAGACGCAUUUUUUAAAAACAACUUCCGAAUGAAGCGCAAUUCUUUCAUAAAAUUAUGUAUUAUGUUGAAAGGUUUGGAGAAGAAAAACACUAACUACCGCAAAGCAAUUCAAUUAGAGAAACGCAUUGCUAUUGCUUUAUAUGCGCUUGGCUCUUCUGCAGAAUACCGAACAAUUGGAAAUAUGUUCGGAAUUGGUAAAAGCACUGUCUGCUCCAUUCUAAUUGAUUUCUGUCAUAAAGUCUGGCGUUGUUUGUGGCCUUUGUAUUUGAAGAAAUUCCAAAUGAAAGAAAUUUAAUUGCGCGAGUAUUUAAAUGGUUUUGAGUCAUUGGGUUUCCCUCAAGUGUUAGGAGCUAUAGAUGGUUGUCAUAUAGAAGUUCGCCCAGCUGCAGAAGAUGCUGUUGACUACUACAAUUACAAAGGCUGGUAUUCCAUAGUUCUUUUGGCUUUAGUAGAUGCAAGAUGUCGCUUUAUAUACAUCAACGUUGGUAGUCCAGGCCGUUGUAAUGACUCUUCAAUAUUUGAGAGAUCAUCUUUAAAAUGCGAGUUGGCACAAUCUACUAUAUUUAAAGA